rnacentral:lncRNA from 1 species
CCACCCUCCAAUAACCCCCUUUCCCUAAUGACCCCCUCCCUCCAAUAACUCCCUCUCUCUAAUGACUUUGAACUAUAUAGUCUUUGCUAAAUGUCCUAUUGUAUGAGUUUUAACCAGACUAAAUAAGUAUUUUAAAACCAAAGUUAUUCAUUUUGUUCUUAUCUGAAAUAGGGAUUAGCUGGCUCUUAGAAUGAGUUUUGCAACUACAGUGCUGUCCAGAAAUGACCUAGGAAAAACAGCGACGUCGAAAUGAAGACAACAGCAACAUGAAUUUACGAAAGUACGUAGAUAGGUUUUUUUUUAAGAUUCCGUUGGUUCAGACAAAUUAUAGGGCGGAUUUGUAGAUGGAAGUUUUGUGUGAACCAGAAGGAGUUGUGAAAAAUGCAACUAUAGAACCUCUGGCAGGAAUCUCACCUGUGACCCUGUGAUUUCGCCGUGCAGAGCCCGAACCAACUGAGCUACAGAGAGACUGCUGUUGAGCUCUAACCACAAGUUCAUGCAUAUUUACCCAUACAAAUACUGAUAUUUCCUCAUAUAGCCUGUUCCAAGAUUUUUGACAUGCUGGCAGAAAAUCAAUAAUUUUUCAGCUUUAAUGUAAUAUUUCCGCAGCUUAUGUCAAUCUAUUCUUUUUGGAAUGCCGAUGCCAUUAUCUCUCUGCAUUGUAUUUGAACAUGACGAACAGCUGAAUCUUGCUCGAUUGUUUUGCGUGAAUUCAAAGAUGACGACCGCGAGUAUUUAGCCUGAGCAUUUGAUUCAAACCUUUAUUUUUCAACCAUGGCUCUGACAAGAUUCAUCAUUCUCGUUCUCGGAAUUUCUGUGGCAUUUGUGGCUUCGUCUGAAGGUAUCGUUAAGUUUUUUUGUGUAAAUUAGAGUACACCUUUUGUUUAGUUUGAAAUUUUUAUGCGAUUAAUUGAUUAAUUUAGGUAGUUAAAUUUUGGACUGGUAUCCGAAAGGUCAUAGGUUCGAUUCCCAACGUGAUCAGGCAAACUUUUCAGCUUGCCCGGUGUGAAUGCACACUCAGAGUAACAGCACAUUAGGUAGUUAAGGUCAUUUUGUUUCGCUAAUUGUAUUCUAAUUGGAUUAAUUUUAAUAUUGAAAACCAAGUUUGCUGAGGAAGUAGAAACGGGUUUUUAGCCAGGGUCCUAAAAGAGGGCUUCCAAUUUUGGUAUAAC